UAUCACAAAACAUGCUGAACCGGAGUAUCUGAAAUUUCAACUUCUUCAGUAGUAUUUCUCAUCUCUCUUCAAUGGCUUCCACCCUCCCUCUUCACCAUCCCACCCACUGGUUCCUCUCCACUCCUAAGCAGUUGAAGAGUUUCCACCAUGGUUGGUCACCACCGUGACCUAGUUGCUCUUUUCUUGCUGACACCCAAAAUCAGAUUAGACCCAUUAGAGUGAACACUGAGAUUUCUCAAUAUCCCAUAUUCCAACCUCCCCAAGUUGAAGAAGAAUCAUCCUCUGAGUUGGAGUCAGCAGACCCUGAUUUUUAUAAGAUAGGGUAUGUAAGGAGCAUGAGAGCUUAUGGAGUAGACUUUAAAGAAGGGCCAGA